CCUACGGGUGGCAGCAGUGAGGAAUAUUGGUCAAUGGGCGCAAGCCUGAACCAGCCAAGUCGCGUGAGGGAUGACGGUCCUAUGGAUUGUAAACCUCUUUUGUCGGGGAGCAAGGCCCGCCACGUGUGGCGGGAAGGAGAGUACCCGAAGAAAAAGCAUCGGCUAACUCCGUGCCAGCAGCCGCGGUAAUACGUAGGGGGCAAGCGUUAUCCGGAUUUACUGGGUGUAAAGGGAGCGUAGACGGCGGGGCAAGUCUGGAGUGAAAGGCCGGGGCCCAACCCCGGGACCGCUCUGGAAACUGCCCGGCUGGAGUGCGGGAGAGGUAAGCGGAAUUCCUAGUGUAGCGGUGAAAUGCGUAGAUAUUAGGAGGAACACCAGCGGCGAAGGCGGCUUACUGGACCGUGACUGACGUUGAGGCUCGAAAGCGUGGGGAGCAAACAGGAUUAGAUACCCGAGUAGUC
rnacentral:rRNA from 1 species